CCCUUAGAUGUUCUGGGCUGCACGCGUGCUACACUGAUAUUGCCAAUAUGUCAUUCUUAUCCGAAAUGGAUUGGGUAAUCAAGUAAUGAAAUUUCAUGCUUGGAAUCGGUAAUUGCAAUUUUAUCGUGAACGAGGAAUUCCUAGUAAGCACUAGUCAUCAGCUAAUGUUGAUUAUGUCCCUGCCCUUUGUACACACCGCCCGUCGCUACUACUGAUUGGGUGUUCAAGUGAGAUGCUUAGACCCUUGUUGCAUGGUUCAUUAUUGUGCUCCGAAAGGAAAAAGUUUCAAGCUUGAGUAUCUAGAGGAAGUAAAAGUCGUAACA
rnacentral:rRNA from 1 species